GACUUACCGUGCAUGAUCUUCAUGCACCUUUUGUCUUUAUUCUUUAUUUGUUCUUGUUUUGAGUAUGCAAGUGUGAAGCAGGAUCUUCUCGUCAUUCUGGGGCCGUCGGUAAACAAAAUCCGGCCUAAAACAUCAUUUUGUUCUAAUAAAAAAUGUGUUUUUCUCUGAUAUUCACAAAAACCAAAAUAACAUCUUAUGUCCCGUC
rnacentral:lncRNA from 1 species